rnacentral:rRNA from 1 species
GAUGAACGCUAGCGGGAGGCUUAACACAUGCAAGUCGAGGGGCAGCACGAGGUAGCAAUACUUUGGUGGCGACCGGCGCACGGGUGAGUAACGCGUAUGUAACCUACCCUGUACAGGGGGAUAGCCCGGAGAAAUUCGGAUUAAUACCCCAUAAAGAUAUGGAGAGGCAUCUUUUCAUAUUUAAAGUUUCGACGGUACGGGAUGGGCAUGCGUAACAUUAGCUAGUUGGUAAGGUAACGGCUUACCAAGGCGACGAUGUUUAGGGGUCCUGAGAGGGUGAUCCCCCACACUGGUACUGAGACACGGACCAGACUCCUACGGGAGGCAGCAGUGAGGAAUAUCGGUCAAUGGGCGUAAGCCUGAACCAGCCAUCCCGCGUGAAGGAAGAAGGCGCUAUGCGUUGUAAACUUCUUUUCCAGGGGAAGAAAACCCCCGACGUGUCGGGGCUUGCCGGUACCCUGGGAAUAAGCAUCGGCUAACUCCGUGCCAGCCGCCGCCGUAAGAC